AGUCCAGGGGAUCGUGGGGCCACAGAAGGGGACUUUUCUCAGUACUGGAACUCGAGCUGGGGCGAAAUCGGAUCCACAGAGAGGGGUAGGAGGGUGAGUGAUUAAUGAGGAAGAUUAAGAGAUUAAAACUUGUUCUGGGUUGGGGAGGGGACACUCACUCGGCUGUCCUAUAGGUUACCCCCCACCCCAGCUUGGAAGCACAGAAGCUCCUGGGUGCUCGCCUCUUCCCACCCGCGGGUAGAACCCUCCCUGUUCACGAUCCUUCUCAAGAGAUGCACGGAGGCCAGCCUUCACCGCUGGCCCCGCGGGGCCAACGGUUUUCCUUUUCAGGCAGUCUCUUGUGUUUCCCACCUUCUCAGAUUCCUUUGAUUGUCCAUUCAGACAUUUCGGGGCCCUGCGCUCCCUCCCCUUGUAGAGAUCCCCACAUUCCAAAUUCGCUGUCUUGGGAAGGCACCCCAUUCCCGCUUAAGGAUGCUUCCUCACACCUCCCCUUUCAGAUUUCCCAUUCUCACCCCUCAGCCCUACCCCCACCUUAUCUUGCACCCACACACCCCAUCGGCGGGUUCCUCCACCCCGGGCCGCCCCCGCUCGACCCCGUUCCCCACUGGUGGCACGGAGGCCUGCUCAAUAAACGACCUUUAGUCUCGGA
ensembl:lncRNA novel transcript, antisense to LBX2